rnacentral:lncRNA from 1 species
GGUUGAGUAACUUGCCCAAGGUUUCACAGCUAGGAAGUAAUGGAGCCCAAAUCUGAACUCAUGGGUGACUGCCUCCAGUGCAGAGACAGGGCCUGAAUUGAGUAGGACCUUGAAGGACAUACAGGUGUAGACAGAGGAAGGAAAGCCUGGAGGCUUCAUACAGAUAAAGAUGUCUACAUUGGGAACGAUGAGGAGGUGCAACACAGAUGCCUUAUUCUGUUGGAUUCCUGCAUAUGGGUCAGGAAUGAGUUAUUCUUUGGUCUUUAAAAGGAGAUGGCCUCAAACACCAAAGUCACAGUGAUAAAGAACCCAGAUGCUUUCAUUGGUGGCACAAGUUCCUGACUAUGACUUCCUGCAGAAGGAUGAUCAGAGCCUGCAGCAGGUGUAUCAGGAGUCUGAUUGAAUUGUUUGUCAAGAAAUACAUUAUCUGUGUAGAUCACAGAGUUGUCUGGAUGUAAACAUUAAAACAUGUGAGUUGUACAUAUGAAAUUUAUACAUAUAUUUAUGCACACAUAUUAUUUAUACAUAUGAAAUUGGUCUAAUAAA